UAAACAGGAUUCCCUAGUAACGGCGAGUGAAGCGGGAUGAGCUCAAGCUUAAAAUCUCCSUGYACGUUGUGCGCGGCGAAUUGUAGUCUAUAGAUGCGUGAUCAGCGCGGGCGCUCGGGGUAAGUUCCUUGGAAGAGGACAGCAUGGAGGGUGAUACUCCCGUUCGUACCUGAGUGUUUUGCGCGUACGGUCCGUAUUCUUUGAGUCGCGUUGUUUGGGAAUGCAGCGCAAAGUAGGUGGUAAAUUCCAUCUAAAGCUAAAUAUUGGUGCGAGACCGAUAGCGAACAAGUACCGUGAGGGAAAGAUGAAAAGAACUUUGAAAAGAGAGUUAAAGAGUACCUGAAACUGCUGAAAGGGAACCGAAUCGUUUCCAGUGUCUAUAAUCCGCGGCAUAUUUCACGUGCGAGUGUGUGCGUUUCGGCUUUGUGGCAGCGGUCAUUUAUUUGUCUGCGCUCGUUGCUGUUUGUGCGCUCGCUUGCGUGUGCCCUGUGCUGUGGUGGGACGUCAAGGUCAGUUCGUAUGCUGCGGGAAAUGGCCGUCGGGGAGGUAGGUCUUAAGCUCCGCUUUUGGCUAUUAUAUCUCGGCGGUUGAGUCGUCGCGGUUGGGACUGAGGUGCCUACAACGUGCUUUUGAGCGCGUGCGUGUCUCUGUGCGCGCGUUGUGCGGAUAGCUUGCUAUGCGCGUGGCGUGUGGUGCGGAUGGAUAUGCGCUGCUGCUUGUUGCCGUUCGGGACUUUGACGAAAUGGCGCGAUCCGACCCGUCUUGAAACACGGACCAAGGAGUCUAACACGCGUGCAAGUGUUUUGGUGUGGAAACCAUAACGCGCAAUGAAAGUGAARGGCGCCUUACGGCGUCUGAGGUAGGAAACCUUGUCGAUUUAUCGGCGGGGUGGCACUAUCGACCGAUCAUGAGCCUUCGUGGCGAAAGAUUUGAGUUUGAGCACGUGUGUUGGUACCCGAAAGAUGGUGAACUAUGCCUGAGUAGGGUGAAGCCAGGGGAAACUCUGGUGGAAGCUCGUAGCGAUUCUGACGUGCAAAUCGAUCGUCAAACUUGGGUAUAGGGGCGAAAGACUAAUCGAACCAUCUAGUAGCUGGUUCCCUCCGAAAUUUCCCUCAGGAUAGCAGCAACUUAUUUACGAUAGUUUUAUGAGGUAAAGCGAAUGAUUAGAGGAUUCGGGGAAGAAACUUCCUCRACCGKAUUCUCAAACUUUAAAUCUGUAAGACCUGCAGGUUCUUAAUGAACUUGCGGA
rnacentral:rRNA from 1 species